rnacentral:rRNA from 1 species
AACAGGAUUAGAUACCCUGGUAGUCCAUGCCGUAAACGAUGAGUGCUAGGUGUUGGAGGGUUUCCGCCCUUCAGUGCCGGAGCUAACGCAUUAAGCACUCCGCCUGGGGAGUACGACCGCAAGGUUGAAACUCAAAGGAAUUGACGGGGGCCCGCACAAGCGGUGGAGCAUGUGGUUUAAUUCGAAGCUACGCGAAGAACCUUACCAGGUCUUGACAUCUUGCGCUAACCUAAGAGAUUAGGCGUUCCCUUCGGGGACGCAAUGACAGGUGGUGCAUGGUCGUCGUCAGCUCGUGUCGUGAGAUGUUGGGUUAAGUCCCGCAACGAGCGCAACCCUUGUUACUAGUUGCCAGCAUUCAGUUGGGCACUCUAGUGAGACUGCCGGUGACAAACCGGAGGAAGGUGGGGAUGACGUCAGAUCAUCAUGCCCCUUAUGACCUGGGCUACACACGUGCUACAAUGGUCGGUACAACGAGUCGCUAACCCGCGAGGGCAAGCUAAUCUCUUAAAGCCGAUCUCAGUUCGGACUGUAGGCUGCAACUCGCCUACACGAAGUCGGAAUCGCUAGUAAUCGCGGAUCAGCAUGCCGCGGUGAAUACGUUCCCGGGCCUUGUACACACCGCCCGUCACACCAUGGAAGUUUGUAACGCCCAAAGUCGGUGGCCUAACCAUUUGGAGGGAGCCGCCUAAGGCGGGACAGAUGACUGGGGUGAAGUCGUAACAAGGUAACC